rnacentral:rRNA from 1 species
CGGCCCCUAAGGCGAGGCCGAAAGGCGUAGUCGAUGGGAACCAGGUUAAUAUUCCUGGGCCAGGAGAUGGUGACGGAUCAUAGAGGUAGUUCGGUCUUAACGGAUUGAUCGGGCUGCUGAGUGGUCCCUGGAAAUAGCCCUCCAUGAGACCGUACCCUAAACCGACACAGGUGGACUGGUAGAGAAUACCAAGGCGCUUGAGAGAACCACAUUUAAGGAACUCGGCAAAAUGCCUCCGUAAGUUCGCGAGAAGGAGGCCCCGUUUGUACGCAAGUAUGGGCGGGGGGCACAAACCAGGGGGUGGCGACUGUUUACUAAAAACACAGGGCUCUGCGAAGCCGUAAGGCGACGUAUAGGGUCUGACGCCUGCCCGGUGCCGGAGGGUUAAAAGGAGAUGUGCAAGCAUUGAAUUGAAGCCCCGGUAAACGGCGGCCGUAACAAUAACGGUCCUAAGGUAGCGAAAUUCCUUGUCGGGUAAGUUCCGACCUGCACGAAUGGCGUAACGACUUCCCCGCUGUCUCAAAUGUGGACUCAGCGAAAUUGAAUUGUCUGUGAAGAUGCAGACUUCCCGCGGUUAGACGGAAAGACCCCAUGCACCUUUACUAUAGCUUCGCACUGGCAUCAGGAUUGUGAUGUGCAGGAUAGGUGGUAGGCAUUGAAACCGGGACGCCAGUUCCGGUGGAGCCAUCCUUGAGAUACCACCCUUCGCACUCUUGAUGUCUAACCGCGGCCCGUUAUCCGGGUCCGGGACCCUGCGUGGUGGGUAGUUUGACUGGGGCGGUCGCCUCCCAAAGAGUAACGGAGGCGCGCGAAGGUUGGCUCAGAGCGGUCGGAAAUCGCUCGUUGAGUGCAAUGGCAGAAGCCAGCCUGACUGCAAGACUGACAAGUCGAGCAGAGACGAAAGUCGGCCAUAGUGAUCCGGUGGUCCCGAGUGGAAGGGCCAUCGCUCAACGGAUAAAAGGUACGCUGGGGAUAACAGGCUGAUGAUGCCCAAGAGUCCAUAUCGACGGCAUCGUUUGGCACCUCGAUGUCGGCUCAUCUCAUCCUGGGGCUGGAGCAGGUCCCAAGGGUAUGGCUGUUCGCCAUUUAAAGAGGUACGUGAGCUGGGUUUAGAACGUCGUGAGACAGUUCGGUCCCUAUCUGCCGUGGGUGUAGGAUACUUGAGAGGAGUUGCCCCUAGUACGAGAGGACCGGGGUGAACGUUCCACUGGUGGACCAGUUGUCGUGCCAACGGCAGUGCUGGGUAGCUAUGAACGGACAGGAUAAACGCUGAAGGCAUCUAAGCGUGAAGCCCCCCUCAAAACAAGGUAUCCCUUGAGAGCCGUGGAAGACCACCACGUCGAUAGGCCGGAGAUGUAAGCGCAGCAAUGCGUUCAGUUGACCGGUACUAAUGGCUC